ACGAACGCUGGCGGCGUGCUUAACACAUGCAAGUCGAACGGAAAGGCCUCUUUCGGGGGGUACUCGAGUGGCGAACGGGUGAGUAACACGUGAGUAACCUGCCCUUGACUUUGGGAUAACUUCAGGAAGCUGGGGCUAAUACCGGAUAGGAGCUCCUGCUGCAUGGUGGGGGUUGGAAAGUUUCGGCGGUUGGGGAUGGACUCGCGGCUUAUCAGCUUGUUGGUGGGGUAGUGGCUUACCAAGGCUUUGACGGGUAGCCGGCCUGAGAGGGUGACCGGCCACAUUGGGACUGAGAUACGGCCCAGACUCCUACGGGAGGCAGCAGUGGGGAAUAUUGCACAAUGGGUGGAAGCCUGAUGCAGCAACGCCGUGUGCGGGAUGACGGCCUUCGGGUUGUAAACCGCUUUCGCUCAUGACGAAGCUUUGUGUGACGGUAGUGGGUAAAGAAGCACCGGCUAACUACGUG
rnacentral:rRNA from 1 species